rnacentral:rRNA from 1 species
GGGUUGUGAGGUUAAGUGACUAAGCGUACACGGUGGAUGCCUAGGCAGUCAGAGGCGAUGAAGGACGUGCUAAUCUGCGAUAAGCGUCGGUAAGCUGAUAUGAAGCGUUAUAACCGACGAUUUCCGAAUGGGGAAACCCAGUGCAAUUCGUUGCACUAUCGUUAAGUGAAUACAUAGCUUAACGAAGCGAACCAGGGGAACUGAAACAUCUAAGUACCCUGAGGAAAAGAAAUCAACCGAGAUUCCCCUAGUAGCGGCGAGCGAACGGGGAGCAGCCCAGAACCUUAAUCAGCGUAUGUGUCAGAGGAACGGUCUGGAAAGUCCGGCGAUACAGGGUGAUAGCCCCGUACUUGAAAAUGCAUAUGCUGUGAGUUCGAUGAGUAGGGCGGGACACGUGACAUCCUGUCUGAAUAUGGGGGGACCAUCCUCCAAGGCUAAAUACUCCUGACUGACCGAUAGUGAACCAGUACCGUGAGGGAAAGGCGAAAAGAACCCCGGCGAGGGGAGUGAAAUAGAACCUGAAACCGUGUACGUACAAGCAGUGGGAGCCUCUUUUAUGGGGUGACUGCGUACCUUUUGUAUAAUGGGUCAGCGACUUAUAUUUUGUAGCAAGGUUAACCGAAUAGGGGAGCCGUAGGGAAACCGAGUCUUAACUGGGCGUCAAGUUGCAAGGUAUAGACCCGAAACCCGGUGAUCUAGCCAUGGGCAGGUUGAAGGUUGGGUAACACUAACUGGAGGACCGAACCGACUAAUGUUGAAAAAUUAGCGGAUGACUUGUGGCUGGGGGUGAAAGGCCAAUCAAACCGGGAGAUAGCUGGUUCUCCCCGAAAGCUAUUUAGGUAGCGCCUCGUGAACUCAUCUUCGGGGGUAGAGCACUGUUUCGACUAGGGGGUCAUCCCGACUUACCAACUCGAUGCAAACUACGAAUACCGAAGAAUGUUAUCACGGGAGACACACGGCGGGUGCUAACGUCCGUCGUGAAGAGGGAAACAACCCAGACCGCCAGCUAAGGUCCCAAAGUCAUAGUUAAGUGGGAAACGAUGUGGGAAGGCAUAGACAGCCAGGAUGUUGGCUUAGAAGCAGCCAUCAUUUAAAGAAAGCGUAAUAGCUCACUGGUCGAGUCGGCCUGCGCGGAAGAUGUAACGGGGCUAAACUAUGCACCGAAGCUGCGGCAGCGACACUUAGGUGUUGUUGGGUAGGGGAGCGUUCUGUAAGCCUGUGAAGGUGACCUGUGAGGGUUGCUGGAGGUAUCAGAAGUGCGAAUGCUGACAUAAGUAACGAUAAAGCGGGUGAAAAACCCGCUCGCCGGAAGACCAAGGGUUCCUGUCCAACGUUAAUCGGGGCAGGGUGAGUCGACCCCUAAGGCGAGGCCGAAAGGCGUAGUCGAUGGGAAACAGGUUAAUAUUCCUGUACUCGGUGUUACUGCGAAGGGGGGACGGAGAAGGCUAGGCUAUC